rnacentral:rRNA from 1 species
GACGAACGCUGGCGGCGGGCCUAACACAUGCAAGUCGAACGGAAAGGCCCUGCUUUUGUGGGGUGCCCGAGUGGCGAACGGGGGAGUAAAACGUGAGUAACCUGCCCUUGACUUUGGGGUGACUUCAGGAAACUGGGGCUAAUACCCGAUAGGAGCCCCUCCUGCAUUGUGGGGGGUGGAAAGUUUCGGCGGUUGGGGGUGGACUCGCGGCUUAUCAGCUUGUUGGUGGGGUAGUGGCUUACCAAGGCUUUGACGGGUAGCCGGCCUGAGAGGGUGACCGGCCACAUUGGGACUGAGAUACGGCCCAGACUCCUACGGGAGGCAGCAGUGGGGAAUAUUGCACAAUGGGCGGAAGCCUGAUGCAGCAACGCCGCGUGCGGGAUGACGGCCUUCGGGUUGUAAACCGCUUUCGCCUGUGACGAAGCGUGAGUGACGGUAAUGGGUAAAGAAGCACCGGCUAACUACGUG